ensembl:lncRNA novel transcript
AGGCAUGUGGUGACUUCAGUAACAGAGACGACUGCAGGGCUGACCUAAGCUUAGUAGCCUGGCUUCUCCGGGAGCUGAGGGUGAGCAUCAUGCCUGCUCCAUCUCCCUCUUUGUUGUGGAUAAGGCAGCUAACCUGAUGUACAUAUGACAUUAAUCCAAUAGACUUAGGAAUAAGAUACAGGGGGUUUUCCUGAAUGAUUCGAGUAUAUCCCCAUUCAUAUUAAGAAAACAAAGUAUUGGCCAAGCGUGGUGGCUCACGCCUGUAAUCCCGGCACUUUGGAAGGCCGAGGCCAGUGGAUCACCUGAGAUGGACUCAACGACUCUCUUACCGUCCAGCUCUCAAGUCCCUUCUCUUGUGAAAAUGGAAAAGUUGAACUACAGUUGAGAUAUUAUUCCCAGGUGUUCUUUGGAACACAGGGGAUUUCUCCAAAAGGCACAGAACAAAUUGCCUCCAAACAGCCAAGAUUCCAGCAGAAGCUGGAGUAGCAGACUACUUGGAUCUUCAAAGUACCUGGCCCUGAGUCAGUUAAGGAAGAUCUUUUCUUCUCUUUUGUACAAUCCUAUGAUGAGAGCUGCAAAGUGAACUGACUAAGAGCUUCUGCCUUGAUCAUUGACCUCCCAAUCCUAAUAAUAUGUUCACUGGCCAAACUUCCUAAUCGAUUUGUCUUUUGGAUAUAACGUUCCUCCUACUGUUUGCCUGAUUGAGAAAUCUGCUACAGAACAUGACCGGUUAGCAUUCCCACCAACCCCAGUGCUACACUGACUGUCUUUCGAUGGACUUUGCUCCUUGCUGCCUCUCUGAGGUCCCAGACCUUCAGAGUGACCUUCACAGCUCUGCCUAACUUUCUGUCAUACUUCUAUCAAGAGAGACAGCUAAAUCAAUAUUUUUAAUGUGCUUUGCUGUCGGAAUUCGAUGAUCUGUCACAGUUCUUGCCCAAUACACCCCAUCAUUAUUGUUAAAAUGUUUUUAGCUUUGUUUGUAGAAUUGCUUUAACUGGUUUCAUCUCUGGGAGCUACACUUUGAAAUAUAACUUUAGCAACAUUUUACUAUACUUUUUCACAACCCAGAGCAGUACUAUUUUAUGCUUAGUGGUUAAACUAAUUCCAUAAAUCUUUUGCAACUAUCCUCUAUUCUUUUUCUUGUAAUUUUUACCUGGGAAGGUUUUUACUGAUAAUCAUCCUAUCCUGAGUCAUCCCACAAACCAAUCUGUCUCACUAAUCAUUGCUUCUAACCUACAGACUAAGCAUAACUUCUGCUAAAUGAUCUUUGAUAAGAUGCUAUGACUCUAUAAAGUCUUUGAUAUUCAUGUCUAAAUUUAAUCACUUGUAGAUUUUCAUAGAAUCAAUCUUUCACUUCUACAAUUGGGAGUAUUUAUAAGUUGUUUAUCUUAAACAGUUCCUCUAUCACGCUUUUCACGUUAAAUAAAGCAAUCCCUUCAAAUCAAU